GCGAGCAGAUUGCAGGAGUGUGGCCCAGGGAGAACCGAGCCAGGUGCUUGUUAUUCAUUAAGGAGCCUCUGCUGACUACCCGAGCUCCUUGUCUGGGAAGUCCGAGUGCAGGAGGCGGCCAGGCAGUGGGCGCCCGGCGCUGGCAACGCAGGGUCCCCCAGCCUGGGAGCACUUGCUGGUCCCCGCGCCUCUGCUCUCUCUGUGCCAAAGAGCAGCCCAAUUUGGCUCCUCCAGAUUUAGUGAUUCUGCAGUAAAAUCACAGGAUUAGUGCCUGAUUGAGAUGUCUGUUCGUGAGAUAUUACAAAAUUCAUUAUCACAGCUCUCUACUAACUCGAUAUGAAGUAACACAGAUGGGAUUUUAUUAGUCCAGGCUUCAAAUGUUUACUUAUGAUAAUUUCUGGGGAAAUUUGCAUGUCAUCAUCAUUUCGGUCCCUGCAGCCGACUCUGUCAAGACAAGCCUCGCAUGACAAAUUCACUUGCCCUGCCGCGGCGCUUGCCUGGAUGGCUAAUUUAUCUAACAAAUUGAGAUGCACAACUUUUGCCUCCCCUCCUUCGGAUGGGAAGUUGUUUUGCUCUUCCCUCCAGCCCUGGGAUGAAUACAUCUUGUCGGACGGGAUUAUUUCCUUCAGCCGCCCCAGCUCUACCCACAGCCGCCGCUCUUCAUUUGCCUUUUUAAAAAAAAAAAAUGUUAUAACAACGAUUACAAACACAUCUGGACAGGGAGAUGGGCAUACAAAAUGAAGGAUUUUUCCAUUGGUGCAAGUCUGCUGCUUCUCUGAACGCAGGAUCUUCUUUCCGCGUUGGUUUAUUAAUUUCUAUUUCUAUUCACUUUGACACUCGCUAGCCUAUUUCAUGAUUUUCAGGACGCUGAAUAAUAAUAACCACCCUCA